GACGAACGCUGGCGGCGUGCUUAACACAUGCAAGUCGAACGCUGAAGCCCAGCUUGCUGGGUGGAUGAGUGGCGAACGGGUGAGUAACACGUGAGUAACCUGCCCCCUUCUUUGGGAUAACGCCCGGAAACGGGUGCUAAUACUGGAUAUUCACUGGCCUUCGCAUGGGGGUUGGUGGAAAGGUUUUUUCUGGUGGGGGAUGGGCUCGCGGCCUAUCAGCUUGUUGGUGGGGUGAUGGCCUACCAAGGCUUUGACGGGUAGCCGGCCUGAGAGGGUGACCGGUCACAUUGGGACUGAGAUACGGCCCAGACUCCUACGGGAGGCAGCAGUGGGGAAUAUUGCACAAUGGGCGAAAGCCUGAUGCAGCGACGCCGCGUGAGGGAUGACGGCCUUCGGGUUGUAAACCUCUUUCGCUCAUGGUCAAGCCGCGGCUUUGGGUUGUGGUGAGGGUAGUGGGUAAAGAAGCGCCGGCUAACUACGUGCCAGCAGCCGCGGUAAUACGUAGGGCGCGAGCGUUGUCCGGAAUUAUUGGGCGUAAAGGGCUUGUAGGCGGUUGGUCGCCUCUGCCGUGAAAAUCCUCUGACUUAACUGGGGGCGUGCGGUGGGUACGGGCUGACUUUAGUGCGGUAGGGGAGACUGGAACUUCUGGUGUGGCUGUGGAAUGCGCCGAUAUAACGAAGAACACC
rnacentral:rRNA from 1 species